UGGUCAAUGAUGACAAGACCACUGCGCAAUCUGAGUUCUGGAAACCAGAUGAUGGAGUGUGUUCGGACUGAGACCG
ensembl:snoRNA small Cajal body-specific RNA 18